rnacentral:rRNA from 1 species
UAAAUCACAAUGCGGGACUAUCAGUCUUGCAAUUGGAUUGAGAACAAUGUACAACUCUUAUCGAUAAGCCAUUGGAGGGCAAGUCUGGUGCCAGCAGCCGCGGUAAUUCCAGCUCCAAUAGCGUAUAUUAACGUUGUUGCAGUUAAAAAGCUCGUAGUUGAAGUGUGGGUGAUCGCUGUUGUGAGACUUCGGUCUCUCGACAGUAAGUCACCCCCUUCCAGUAUCCAGUAGUGGGUAUUCAGUUACUUACUAUUGUGUGUUGGUCGUUUACUGUGAGAAAAUUAGAGUGUUCAAAGCAGGCGUUUGCUUGAAUAGAUUAGCAUGGAAUAAUAAUUGAAGGCUUUCGUGUUCGAUUUGAUUGGUUUGUUCAUGGAAGCAAGGUUAAAAGGAACAGUUGGGGGUAUUCAUAUUCACUAGUUAGAGGUGAAAUUCUCGGAUUUAUGGAAGAUGAAC